UACUGUACCUUAGUUGCUUCGGCGGGCCCGCCAUUCAUGGCCGCCGGGGGCUCUCAGCCCCGGGCCCGCGCCCGCCGGAGACACCACGAACUCUGUCUGAUCUAGUGAAGUCUGAGUUGAUUGUAUCGCAAUCAGUUAAAACUUUCAACAAUGGAUCUCUUGGUUCCGGCAUCGAUGAAGAACGCAGCGAAAUGCGAUAACUAGUGUGAAUUGCAGAAUUCCGUGAAUCAUCGAGUCUUUGAACGCACAUUGCGCCCCCUGGUAUUCCGGGGGGCAUGCCUGUCCGAGCGUCAUUGCUGCCCAUCAAGCACGGCUUGUGUGUUGGGUCGUCGUCCCCUCUCCGGGGGGGACGGGCCCCAAAGGCAGCGGCGGCACCGCGUCCGAUCCUCGAGCGUAUGGGGCUUUGUCACCCGCUCUGUAGGCCCGGCCGGCGCUUGCCGAACGCAAAUCAAUCUUUUUCCAGGUUGACCUCGGAUCAGGUAGGGAUACCCGCUGAACUUAAGCAUAUCAUAGCCGGAGGAACUUACGAGUGUAGGGUUCCUAGCGAGCCCAACC
rnacentral:rRNA from 1 species